rnacentral:rRNA from 1 species
UACGUAGGGUGCGAGCGUUGUCCGGAAUUAUUGGGCGUAAAGAGCUCGUAGGCGGUGUGUCGCGUCGGCCGUGAAAACCUGGGGCUUAACUCUGGGCGUGCGGUCGAUACGGGCAUCACUAGAGUUCGGCAGGGGAGACUGGAAUCCUGGUGUAGCGGUGAAAUGCGCAGAUAUCAGGAGGAACACCGGUGGCGAAGGCGGGUCUCUGGGCCGAUACUGACGCUGAGGAGCGAAAGCAUGGGUAGCGAACAGG